rnacentral:lncRNA from 1 species
CCAUGUAAGAUUUACCGCCUAAACCUCAUACACGAUCACAUGUAAGAUCUACUACUUAAACCUCCCACAUGAUUCUACGUAAGAUCUAAAGUCUAAGCUUUGAUACCAAAUUAUAAUGACUCAAUUCUCUCGACCGUUAAUUAAAUCAAUAAUUGUGUUAUUUUAUAUAUAAAUCAGAGCACUAUUCUUCUCAAAUAUACAAUAGCCUCAAAAAAAUAUAUUAUAAUAUCUCAUAACAAAUUCAAGACAACAUGAUAAAAAAUCUCAAUAUCUUUCACCCAUCCCCUCUCGCAUUACCCAAACUCUCACGUCAACAUGAAAAAUUAUUUUAAGCGAAAAAAUAUACAAUAUAACAAGAAUAAUGCUCAAUUCAAUAAUAGCUCAAUUAUAGUUUUAGAAUAGCUCAAUGAAUCAUCAAAUCAUGAAUGACCUGGUACUCAAUUUUUUUCGAUACAUCACUAGUUGUCGGCCUAGCCCAUCUUACCUAGCUUUUCUGGCUUAUUCGGAUGUUGGUUAAGUUAUUGGCGAGUUCACUUAGUUAAUGUACCAAUCAAUUUCAUAUUAUUUAGCCAUCAUAAAAUGAAUUCAUAUAGAUCAUAAUUCAAAUAAAACACCAUGAAUUUCAAUAGAUAGCACACAUGCUCAAGAUGAAUACAAAAAUUCAAUAUUUAUGAAAGUACUCUGAAAUUUAAGAAGCAUAUUGUAUACCUCUACUUACCUCAAUCAGAAUCAAGACCAAUAGAUAUGUUGAUCUGUCAGCCAUGAAUAAUAUACUGAAUUUUUACCUCGAUCGAAUAUCAUCUCAUUGUUGAUUCUACGUCCUAUCUCUCAUUAUCAUAGAUAACUGUGGGGUUGUUAUAUGAAAAGAUGAAAGAAAAUUGAGGAUAGACAUCCGCAGCGUUCUGCGGCUGCGUGGGUAGCCCUGACCUCCUGAGCGUCUAACUUGCGAUGCCUUGCCUGUGAGCACAGCAACAGUGAGGAUGGCCGCCAGAGUUAUUUUUGAAAAACGACUUUCUGACGGUUAAGUUAGACGUCUAGAAUCUUAGAGACCGAAAGUUAUACCUGAACUCAGCGCGUGGCUCAACGCUUGUUGUAUUAAUGAGUGUAUGGCUAACCCGGCCAUGCCUUUGCGGCGUGGCUGGUAACUUACCAUCAACUGCCGACGUCUCAAUCUGGGCAGGGGGCCCGUCAGAAGGUACUCUGCCGUGCAAGUCACCUUCUAUCCCCUGUCAUUCCUUGGGAUUAUCGCCGAUCGUUGCCCCCUUCCAAGCUUUCAGCGCAGUUAUUAUUUCGAGUGCUAAGAAACGGUGCCUCGGGGAUAAUGAUGGGUUUAGUUCGGGAGGGCAUCGUCUGUAGUGUUGAUUUCUCCGAGCUCCGGCACAGAGGCUUUCCGAGAUCAUUUCGUGGCGAUGGCUGGUCGGGACCUCUGCCCUAGCAAGGCCUAUGUCGAAUGGUGUUCGCACCGAGUUACGGCGCAGGGAACCACCGAGCUCGCUAUGAAGCGACAGCUCAUCGGAGAUUCCUGCCCUAAUAAGACUGGGUUACGUCAUUGUAUAGUUUGUCCUCU